UGUUGUCAUGGAGAUAAAUAUCUAAUAACAGCCCUGUUGCACUUUACAGGGAAUCAAAUAAUUUAGAGGUGGUCUGAUGCCAAUCUGGACACCACGCCUAGAGGACUUUACUUCGAGGAAAUGCUCUUUCCUGUUGCGACUCGUUACAUUUGCCUGUUCUCCUUUCUUGUGUAUUCCAUUGUGUGUGAGCGACUCAAGAACUCAGGCUUAUCAGAUCUUGCUCCUUUUCCAAGACAGAGCCCAAGAUUAACUUUUACUGAAGAAGGGUCUUGACCCGAAAUGUCACCUAUUCCUUCUCUCCAGUGAUGCCGCCUGUCACGCUGAGUUACUCCAGCAUUUGUGUCUUCCUUCGUUUAAACCAGCAUCUGCAGUUCUUUCCUACACAUUCACUUUUACUUCGCAGGGUUUUCGUCAUCUGGUACAGUCCUGACAAAAUUGGGAAGUGAAUUGAGGCAUUCUGGGAGCAAUGGCCAAUUUUAGCAACAUGUAAAUUGAAGCCAACCCCACCCGGAGCGCACUAGUUCUUUUUC